rnacentral:sRNA from 1 species
GACCUAACCUCUAGAAAACGCUUAGUUUCCUAGAGCAUGGUCGGAAUAACAAAACCGCUACAGUAUAGAAGGCUCCUCGUCAGAGUCACUGUAGCGGUCGUGUACUCGAAAGGGUAUAUGGGUUAGGCCGAAAGGUCUGAUC